rnacentral:rRNA from 1 species
GAUGAACGCUGGCGGCGUGCUUAACACAUGCAAGUCGAACGAGAAGUGAAGACGGAAACCGUCGGGCGGAAGGCUUUAUUUCGAGUGGCGGACGGGUGAGUAACGCGUGGGUAACCUGCCUCAUACAGGGGGAUAACAGUUGGAAACGACUGUUAAUACCGCAUAAGACCACAGCACCGCAUGGUGCGGGGGUAAAAACUCCGGUGGUAUGAGAUGGACCCGCGUUCGAUUAGCCAGUUGGCGGGGUAACGGCCCACCAAAGCGACGAUCGAUAGCCGAUCUGAGAGGAUGACCGGCCACAUUGGGACUGAGACACGGCCCAAACUCCUACGGGAGGCAGCAGUGGGGAAUAUUGCACAAUGGGGGAAACCCUGAUGCAGCGACGCCGCGUGAGUGAAGAAGUAUUUCGGUAUGUAAAGCUCUAUCAGCAGGGAAGAAAAUGACGGUACCUGAGUAAGAAGCCCCGGCUAACUACGUG